rnacentral:rRNA from 1 species
UACGGAGGGGGCUAGCGUUGUUCGGAAUUACUGGGCGUAAAGCGCACGUAGGCGGGUUCUUAAGUCAGGGGUGAAAUCCCGGAGCUCAACUCCGGAACUGCCUUUGAUACUGGGAAUCUUCAGUCCGGGAGAGGUGAGUGGAACUCCGAGUGUAGAGGUGAAAUUCGUAGAUAUUCGGAAGAACACCAGUGGCGAAGGCGGCUCACUGGCCCGGUACUGACGCUGAGGUGCGAAAGCGUGGGGAGCAAACAGG